rnacentral:lncRNA from 1 species
GUGCCAAACUGUAAGGCGGGCAAAGAAGUGGUCAGGGCAUUUCUUGUUAUUUGACUUCUCCUCCCACUCCUGUCUCCACCUGUUCAUGUGGCUCUAACAAGUCAUUCCUUUAAAUUUCUCCAUUUGAGCCUAUAGGGGAAAUCUGCUGUCUCCACUGCGCAUGCUGACUAUCACCUGCUUCUUAUUGCUUCACAGGUCCAAACAGUGAUUCUGAAACAGCUGGUCCCAUAUACAAAUGAAGAUCUUGUUUAAAUACUACUUUUUCAUGUAAAAACAGCUAAACAAAAUGCAAGGUGUGGAUCCUGUUUGAAUUGUGCUCCAAACAAACCAUAAAAGACCAUCAUAAGACAACCUGUGACUAGACACUAACUAGACAUUUGAUUCUAUGAAAGAAUUCUUGUGAAUUCUAACACACACUCCCAGGUGUGCUAAUGGCAUUGUGGUUAUGUUUAGAAGAGUCCUUACAAGUCAGAUAUAUGCCGCAAUAAAAAUGUAUUUACAGGUUUUUGAGCCAAUGAAGGCAGUGAGAAGAGUGAGGAAAGGAUCAAGCUCAGCGUUUCUCAAAGUCUUACUUGAUACAGAUGGGAGCCCAGUUCUUGCCAACUUCAAAAAGCUACAUCGGCUCCAAGCCAUGAUUAUACUUCGCCAACUAUCAUCUUCAACUUCACCAGAGAACUCAGGAAUGUGCCCCAGCAAGAUUCAGCAUCCAGAAAUGUAUGUAAGGGAACCAAGCCUCAGUGAGGUAAGAAGUGUGCUGCAGAUCAAACUACCAGUAAACAUCUAGGGGCCCACCCGGCUGCACCGCCAGCACACUUGGCCACCUGCCUUUGAGUUAGGCUGGUAAGUUUCCCAUUGUCUGAGCUCAGCAGGAGGAAGGAUGGAAAUCCAAGAAACUCUACAAAGAGGAUUUCCCUAUGAUCUACCAAUCAAAAUGAAGAAUUGAUUGGAAAAAGACAGUUUGAACUAAGGUUCCCAGGUUUGCACAACAAGAUGACAACAACCCAAGUUUCUUCUUGAGUAUAUACCAUGUCCUGCUGCCAAUGGUGCUCCACCAAAACCAAAUGCUCCCCCCAAAACAGAUGACUUUGCUUUUAGUGGUUGGAGCUUAAGCUAGCUGAACAUCCCAAGACAUGACAGAAGGAUGAUGGUGUUAUGGGCUGAACUGUAUCCCUCAAGAACUCAGGUCGGGCUGGGGAUUUAGCUCAGUGGUGCUGCUGCCUGCCUUGCAAGUGCAAGGUCCUGGCCCCCAAAUCAAACCAAACCAAACCAAACAAAACAAAAACAACUCCUGUGUUCACGGAAUUUAGUUCAGUGGCACUGCACCUGUCUCGCAAAUGCAAGGUCCUGAGUUUGAUCUCUAGUACAAGAGAAAAGCAAAAACAAAACCCAAAACUUCCUAUGUUCAAGUCCUAACACCAAAUCAUAUUUGGAACCUGGGUCACUGCAGAUGUAAUCAGGCAAGUUAAAGAGGAAGAUGGACCCUUACCCAUCAUGGCUGAUAUUUUCACAGGGGAAGCUUGGACAUACAGCAUAUAAGGAGGCCACCAUGUGAAAACAAAGGCAGGCAAUAGGUGACGUAGCAGAAGCCAAAGAUUGCCAAAGACGGACAGCAAACUACCAGAGCCAGGAGACUGUUAUGAACACAUUGUCCUUCACAACCCUUGAAGGAAUAAACCCUGUAGACAGCUUGAUUUUGGAUUUCUUGCCCCACUGCCCAACUCUGACAGUAAAUUUCUAUUUAAGCCACCUGACCUGUGGCAUUUUGUAACAGUGGCUCUGGCACACCAACAGUAACUUAUGGCAUCUUUUCCCAUAUGAACACCAUAAGUACAUCUUUACAAUGACCUUUUGUAAGCAAAGUGAAAGCCUUACUGAGAAACUUUGCUGCAAUAUAUGUAAUAUAUGCAAUAUAUUUAAUUAUAAGACUGUUGUGUGUAUUAACUUGUGAGUUAAAAACAGGCAAGGGUCUGUUUCUCAUCUCCGAAUUUGGACAUAAAAAUUUCAUCUCUGUCCAACUGUCCAGGCAUUAGAGAGAUAAUCUUUGAUUUUUAAAACAAAAAAACAAAUUUUACUUUUCAGUCAAGGGGGACCAGGGUGUAGCUCAGUGGCAGAUCACUUGCCUAUAGCACGUGUGAGACCCUGGACUCAAUCUUUCACUUAAAAAAAAAAACAAAAACAAAAACAAAAAACAAAUGACAACAUUUUAGUGCAUGUGCCAAUUUCCCAAAAUAAAUAUCACCACAUAAUAUUUGCGUGCACUAAUAAAAUGUAAUAAAAAAAGAAAAAACAUCCAAGGACUUUUUCUCUUCUCUUUACUCUUAGAAUUAAAUAGUGAAGCCAGGUGUGAUGGUACACACCUCUAUAGCAUUGUGGGAGGCC